rnacentral:lncRNA from 10 species
UCUCAACUGUUGAGAUAUAAGGUUACCUUUCUGUCUUUGUAACUUCCAGAUCUUCAUAAAAGGAAAUCGCAAAAUUAAAAUUUCAACCAUAAAGGUGAAAGAAUUGUGUAAAAUAAGCUCUGAAGUUUCCUUAAAAUCUAACAUUUUAUAUUGUAGAUGACCAGUAGGUUUUAGAUUAUUGCACUGGAUAUUAACAUUUUAAUUCUUCCAAUUUGUUGGAUACUUAGCCGAACAAUUUAUAUUGAAAAUAACAAGAGAUUUUAAAAUCAUGUAUAUCUGACUUACCCUUUGGCUUGGAGAAACAGACACAGGUCAAUUAUAGAUUAUUCAUUUGUUAUUUUAAUUAAAUUAUAUGGACUGUGGCUUGCUAAUGCUCAAGACAGAAAAUGAAAGUGUUUUCUGCCCUUUUCCCUACACUAAGGGAUUAUUGAGAUAAUGACCUAAUAGUCUGGGUUGUGUAUAUGUCAGAAAAACUUCAUUUUAUUAAUAAGUGAUACUACAGAUACUGCCCAUUUAUUAUAUUGAUAGCAGCUGUGGAUAUGAGAAGAGUGGACCUAUAUAUGUCCAUAUAUAGGUAUAACCAAUAUAUAUGUAUAACAUAUAUAUGUCCAUAUAUAUGUAUAACCAAACCACAGGUGUUUUUUUGGAAGUCAUAUUAUACAGGGAGUUGACAGAGGUGUGAGCUGGACUUUAAGAAGCUGCACAUAAGAUGCUAGUAUGAUCAAGCUGGAAUGGACUUAGACAAUUUGAAACAACUUUUCUCAGUUUUCAGAUGAGGAAACUGACGGGUACCAAGCUUAAAUGACUUGACGAAGCUCAUAGAAGAUUAGCAGGUAGUAGAAUAAUGACUGCUGACUCCUAAUUCAGUGGAUCUUCCCUGGCCACCGUUUUGUAUUGAGCUGCAAUGCUUCCUUGACUGUUCUCCAUGCCAGAUUCUUAUCAAUGAUCUUUCACCUAAGAAACAGCAAAGAUUCUGGCAAGCACACGAUCUAGAGAUACAUCUUAUUGCGAUUUUUCACAAAAAUCAAAAGAAGAAAGAAGGCUUAGCUGGUGUUUAAUUAUUGUUAUUUUUUUCAAUAGGGAAAUCUGUACACAAUGAUUUAUCUCCAGUGAUUUGCCAUUGAUCAAUUUUUUUCUCAUUUCAUUUUCUAUUUUUUUGUUUUUUGUUUUUCUUUAUUUUUUAUUUUUUUCUCCUUUUUCUUUUUUUAAAUUUUCUGUUUAUCACAAAUGAUCAUGUAAUUAUAUGUUAAUACUAUGUAACCCCAGUGUUUUCAACUGUUUGUGAUUCAAUGUUACCCAGUUUUCUUUUCUUAAUUUUAAAUAAAUUUGAAAAAUUAUCUUAGAGUGUUUUGAGCCUGUGUUGGUACAUUUAGUUCUAGUUCAUUGUGGUAAAUCCACUUCAGUUUCUAAGUUUCCACCCUUUAGUAAAGACAUAUUUCUAAAUUUGGUUUAUAUCCUCAGUUACAAAAGAUUCUAACUGCUAGUUUUGUGACAGCAAUCACACAUACCAUCAAGGGAUGGGGCAGGCAGUUUUGGAAUGUGCUGAUGCUAGCAUUUUUAUAAGCCUAUGGCUUUUAUAGUCUAAAUUGUUCUUAUUUCUAUUAAUGCUUCAAUUUUUGACAAACACACAACCAUAGAAACAAAUAAUAAAUUUGUUUUUUGGGAAUUAUCCAGGAUUCUUGGUUAAGUGGGGAAUUUAGGCUUUGACAGCAUAAAGGAUCACGGAUAAGUAUUUUUCACGGUGGCUCUAAUUAUAAUGCUGAGCAUGUGGCAGGCACAGAAAUAUUUACUCAUUGACUGAAUAUAGCACAUCGUAAUGUUGAUUUUUUUCCAACAUAAUUUUAGAGCUAGGCAUAUUGUAUUCUAUUACACUAGACUAUAUAUCAUUCUUAAAUAGAACCAGCCUUGCUAGAUAACACAUGUUGGAGGAGAGGCCCUUCUUCUUAGCCCUCAGUGUUUCCAUCUAUGGGGAAGAAGUUCCACCAUACUAACAUUACUAUCGUCUCUCCACCUGCUCACUCACUUCUCCCCAAGGGAGGGGUGUUCGAUAUGGUUUCUGAGCUUGGAAAGAAAACUCAGGCAUGUGUAACAUGGUUCCUUCAGUCCCAUGACCCACUGUCCACAAAUGGGCUGCUCACAGAGUGCAUGCCUUCACCCUUGUUCCUGGCCAUGCAGGAAAUUGUAUGAAACAGUCCUAGCUGAAGCCUGAGAUUUUCCUGCAUUGCCUAGUCCUGGUGGGUAUCUGUCUACUCCUGGAGUUUGGAUUGGAAAGUCCACAUGCCUGAAGGUAUAAACCUAUUCUACAAAGGGGUGUUUUCUAGAAUGAAGGUAAUAUUUUUAUCUUACAUUUGCAGAAAGAGACAGAACAAUGUUAUAGGUGAGUGCAUGGACAAUGACCUCAAACAGCUAAGAUUCAAACCCCUGCGUUGAAUGAUUGAAUUGAAAUGAUUCAAUGAGCUAAUGUACAUAAAGCAUCCAGAAUGUUGCCUGGCACAAGGUAAAUGCUCUACAAAUGUCUGAUAUUAAUGUUAGCCUUUUGUUUCCCCGUUCAGUUGGUUCAGAACGUAGACAUUAUGUACUGGCUCUGCCUCACACCUCAAUAACAGAGAUUUCUUAAAGAAUAACUUAUAAACUCUUUUCAACUUCAAAUCACUCCGUGAUUAGGCUUAUCUUAUACCUUACUAGUUCUUAGCACCAGAAUUAUUUUUCCAAUUGUAGAACUAAUCAUGUUUCUCUGAAAUUCUUAAUUCGUGCAGACCUCUCAGUGGGGCUUCAAACUCUCACAGUCAGACCUCAGCAUACGUUUCCAGCCUUGUCUUCCUUACACACUGUGCUUUGGCACGAGUCUACCAUUGCUCACGGUUCCUGAAUCACAUGCAGUCUUCACACCAUGCAGCUUUGCUCUUUCUGCUUUGAGGGCUUUCCCCCUGCUCUGCUUGAUAGAUCAGAGCCCACCCUUCAUGGCCCAGCUCACAGGCCUACUCCUUUGUGAAACCUUUUCUUCUUACUCCCCAUUCAUGGAGGCCUCAUCUGUUGUGAAAGCAAAAGAACAUCUCAUUGCUGCUGUAACCCUUACUCACUUGAAUUUUAUGAAAAUUACGUGAACUCUGAGCUUCUGAAGGUCUUGGCCAGAGGGUCAGGUUCUCUUUACUUUUGUAUACUCAUCUCACCCAGCCCCUAACACAGUGACUUGCUCUUCAAUGAUUACCCAAGUAUGAGUCCAUCAAGGAAUUCUAUCAGAGUCUUUUCCAAAAUACCAACCAAACACAUCUACCUCUUUCCAUCUCCAUCUGAUCACCAUUAUCUCUGACUGGGUCUACUGUGGAAGCCUCCUAAAUUUUCUCCCUGCCUCUGUGCUGGCCCUAAUUUGGGUUAUUCCCUAAAUGGCCAUUGGAAUAAUGGAGUUAAGAUAUAAACCAAAUUAGGUUACCUCCCCACAUAAUACUGAAACCUCAAUUUUGAUCUUUCUGCACCUGCCCCUCUUUCACAUCUCAUAUUUUAUAAUCCCCCAUCUGCACCCUCACUCACUGAACUCUACUGACACUUCUCUCCUUUUCUCCUUUUGGUUUCUCAGACAGCCCAAACUUUUCUCAACCUCAGUCUCCUGCACACUCUUUUCCUUCUCCAUGAAAUGCUUAAGUCUUAACUUUUUUUUUUUUUUUUGACAGGGUCUUGCUCUGUCUCCCAGGCUGGAGUGCAAUGGCAUGAUCAAAGUUCACUGCAGCCUUGACCUCCUGGGUUCAACCAAUCCUCCUUCCUCAGCCUCUCACGUUGGUGGGACCACAGGCAUGCACCACCAUGCCCAGCUAAUUUUAAUUAUUUUUUUUUAGAGACAGGGUGUCACCAUCUUGCCCAGGUUUGUCUAGAAUUUCUGUGCUAAAGUGAUCUUCUCACCUUGGCCUCCCAAAGUGCUGGGAUUACAGGCCAUGAGCCAUGAUCUAGGCCAUGACUAGAUAUUGUUGUCCUUUAAGUUUCAGAUUACAAACCUCCUCCUAAGACACCCCGGCCCUCAGUCUAAGUUGAACACCCCCUCUGCGUAAUUCAUUAUACUGUGUAGUUGUAACCCUCAGAGCCUCAUUGUUUUUUUCACUGCAUUCAUAAGGAUUGGUAACAAUCUUUCUUCAGUGUGGGUUUUCCAAUGGUAUUAUCUGUUUUCUCCACUAGGCUAAAACUCCAUGAUGGCAGGAAUGAAGCCCAUCUUGUUAUCACUGUGUCCUGAGAAAUGAGCACAAACAGGAUGCAUGAGAGAACUGUGCUCAGUAAAAAACAGUUCACAGAUAGACUCUGAGGUCUUAAAAAUUCUCCAAGCAGAAACAGGACCCAGAGAGUACCUGGUUAAAGUCCUUCAUUUUACAAAGGGGAAAAUCAAGAUCCAGGACUUGUAAUGAGUUCUCCUAAUGCCCCAAGUCAGUGUCUGCCCAAAGGUCUCUGGUUUUUAGGGUAUCCUUCAUUAUCAAGUUCUCUUGCUUUAGGCUUCUGGAAACUAGCCAAUAACUGUAGAUUAUUAAUAAAGUAAUAUAACAGGAAAAUCAAAUGCUUCCUACACAACCUUUCACUGAGAAAUGAAAGCAAAGCCUAAGGAAAUGCCAUCUGACUAAUUUCUAACCAAUGCAAAUCUUCUCUCUUAGUCACCCCUAACAAAAAUGUCAAUGUUCUAUAAGCACAGUGAGAGGUGCCAAGGCCCAAGGCAGCUUUUUAGAUCUGCUCUGCCUCACAGAAGGGUCUAGGAUCUACUGCACAGUGGAGUGGCUCAGAGUUGCACUUGUUUAUUGGGCAAAUAGAGAAAAUCCAGAACCUUCAACAAACACCCUCUUUCUUCUAUGCCGUGGAGGGUUUUCUACCAUUAUCUGUGGCAUAUUUGUUAAUUGGUUGCCUUUAUUCAUGUUCCUGCUUCUUUUCCUCUUCAAGCCUCAAUGUUGUCAUCUCUAAAAUAGAGUGAUUGAUAUUGGCAGUCUUUUUAGCCUUGGCAUUCUUUGACCAGGAUUCUCCAAACAGAAACAAGAUCUAGAGAGUACCUGGUCCUGUUUCUGCUGUACAGUUAGUUCUCAACUUCAAAGGAUAAAUAUGAUUUGCUGAGCACAUUACUUAGGAUCUACCAUGCAUGGGAAAUUAGAUAAUCAUUUCAGCUCCUAAUUGCAUCCUCUAUUGUCCUGAGCAAGUAUAAGAUGCUGGUGAAUCCUGGAGCUAACACUUAGGUUUUCUGUUCCUUAGGACUGUAUUGUCUGCUAGACCAUUUAUUCAAAGUGGGAGGAUGAUGUUCUAAAAGCCAAUGAUAAAGCUCAUGGCAAUGCAGGGUAUAUCUGAUGGCAUGGAAUGCUUUAGGAUGGCCAAGAUUGCCCAUCAAAUGCCAAGUCACCGAAGGUACUCAUUUAUUCUAAAAAUAUCCACUAAGCAACCCUUUCUAAUAUGUGUUGUUCUAGGUUCUGGGAAAUAAGAAAUCAUUAGAAAAAGAUUUCUGCCUUCUAGAAGUACACAGUCUAAUGGUGAGAUAGGCAGGUAAGCUAUUACAACACAGUGAGAUAUGCACACGAGUAAAGCUGUUUUUCUUUGGUGUGCUCACAGUAAAGGGUAUAACUAACUCCAUCUGUGGGCUUCAGAAAGGGCUUCCCAGAGGAGGAUAUUUGAACUAGCUCUUGAAGGAUGAGAAAGAGUUUGCUUCAUAGAGAUAAAGGAGAGGAUAACAGCAGGUAGCAAAGCAGCAGUACACAAAGGUACUGAGUCCAGGCCUGGUCUCCUUUGGAAAUGGAGGAGGAGUAUAAGAGAAUUUUGUGGUAACAUCAGUAAGGAAAAAGAUGAAGGAGGGAGAGUAGAAAUGAGGCUGGAUGGGCGGUUUUGGAGGCCAACUGAGGAGGGUCUUACAUGCUAUGUUAACAGGCCUAGACUUCAUUCUAUAUGCAAACAGGGAGAUCCGGACUAAUGAGGGGUAUGUGUGUGUCCUUGUAUGUGCAUGUGCACGAAGGUGACAUAAUCAGGUAUGACUUUUAGAUGAUACUUGGUGACAAAGGAAGGGUGGAGAAUGUAAACUAGAGAAGCCUGGGAUAAUAUGGCUGCUUGGGAAUGGUGAGAAUUCUGGCAGCUGCAUUGCUGAUGAGUAAAGUGGAGGGAAGCUUUGGAAAAGUGUUUAGGGCCAAUCAGUAGAAGGUCAUACAUUCAUACUAAAGGGUUUGUUUCAAUAAGUAUAGCUAAAGAAUCCCACUCAUAGCUUUUUUUCCUGUGGUUUACAUGACAGUUAUUAAUGGCUCUCCUACUAGGAGCCUGACAUCAUGGUGAGCAUCGAGAAAGGAAUAACCUAAGCUGAAGACACGCCUUUUCAGGAGGCCAAGUUCCACGUUCUGUGCAUGCUUUUGGCGAAAGUCAGGUAAAGCCUCCAGAAAUGCAUGGUCUAUUCUCUCGGACCAUAUGGCUGUGGGCAAACUCUGGCUUCUUGGAGCCUCCAUUAGCCACCUAGGGAAAGGUAAUUGGCUUUAUGUUUGGCUCCAUCACUGCUGGCGACAAGCUCCACUGCAUUCUCAAGCAGUAGAUGAAAUACAACUGUGCUCCUGAAUGCAGCAAAGGAAAGAGAACCCAACUGGACCAGUGUGAAAUUGGGACCUUUGGAGGCAAGAAUGCACAUAUUUAUAAAUGAAUAAACAUAAUUUUUCUCUCUUCUUCCCAUUGGCAGCAUAUCUGAAGGCCCUGACUCAACAGUAGUGGGUCUUAAUGCUUGUGCUUGUCCACCCUUCUCGGCAGUGAUUGAUUUCAUUGUUGGCUUGUUUUCAUGACUUGAAUGUGCGAUCUUCAGAGGGCCUAAUUCCUUGCAAGUUCCAUUUGAGGGUGGAAGAGCUAGAACAAGCUAUAACCAGUAGACAACUCCGUGACUCAGGAGCUUAAGCAUGUGACUAAUUAGUAAGAAAAAAUGUGGUGAAGAUUUGUAGUUAAUAAGAAGGAAAGAAGAAUCACUGGGGCUAGAAUUAUGCAAGCUUUUGUUUCCUUUUGGGACUAUAUCAGAACUAUGAGAGAAGAAAGGCUACCUUUUACCUUUGAGGAAUUUUCAAAGCCUUUUUUUUUUUUUUUGGUUGGUUUGUGACUGACAAAGGGCACAAUUUCAACACCUCAGAAAAAUGCCUCAUCAUUUCCUCUUGUGAAAUCUGGGUGCUUCUGAAUGAAUCCAUGUUAGGAAUGUGUACUUCCAUCCAUUAAAGUCAAUGUCCAGUCUCAUUUUGGGCCAGAGGCUGUUACUAAGUUGUAGUACUGGUGAGAAAAGGACAGAGCAUUUACCUUCCCUGGGUAUCCUGUGACCUACAUGUGUCCUUGCAAGGCAGGGAAAUGUUACUAAUUAAGAGCAUAGCCUUUCGUCAGAUGGGUUCAGAUCCUAACACAUCCUCUUUCUGGUUACAGGACAGUCCUCUCUGAGCCUCAGUUUUCUCAUCUCUAAGAUGAGGCUAAUUAUACCUACUUCCCAGGGGGGUACUAAGGAUAAAGUAACAACACAAGAAAAUUUUUUAUCCUUGAUUUUCUUAGCUGGAAAAUUAGGCUAGAAAGACCUCCAUCCUUGGGGUAUUUAAAAUAAAAGGACAAACAUAUGAUGAGUCUAAGUGAUCAAUACAUUGUGGCUUUUGUACUUACUAUUCUGAAACAUGGGUGUGGCCUAGAUACUUUCCAAAAUUCUGCCCUCUCCACCUAGCAAAAUGACAACCAGACUUACAGAUAUGCCAACAAGCUAGUGUUUAAUAAUGGUGUUUGAUGAUAAAUGGCAUUUCUUUUCGACAUUUGUCUCUUUUUAAAACUUGGUGCUCUUAAAUGCAUCAUUGGAUAAGUGAUGACUGUUCCCAUUCGCAAGAAGAGACCUGGAAUCUAAGCAUGAAGGACCUGUCCUGAUGUUGAGAAGUGUGGAUCACAUUUAUUUGUAAACUUAGCUUCUUGCUCGUCUCAUGGUUGCUUUUUUUUCUUUUUCCUUUUUCUUUUUUUUUUUUUUUUUUUUUUUUUUUUUUUUGAGAGGGAGUCUCACUCUGUCACCCAGGCUGGAGUGCAGUGGUGUGAUCCCGGCUCACUGCAACCUCCACCUCCCGGUUUCAAGCAAUUCUCCUGCUUCAGCCUCCCCAGAAGCUGGGAUUACAGGCACGUGCCACCAUACCCGGCUAACUUUUUUUUUUUUUUUUUUUUUUUUUUGGGAUUUUUAGUAGAGAUGGGGUUUUGCCAUAUUGGUCAGGCUGGUCUCGAACUCCUGACUUCGUGGUCCGCCCACCCGCCUCAGCUUCCCAAAGUAUUAGGAUUACUGGCGUGAGCUACCGCGCCUGGCCUUAUGGUUUUUCUCAUUUUUUCUUCCCUUCCUCCCUCGAUUCCUUUGUUCCUUUUACUCUACCAUGCCUACUGUAAAGAAUAAACAAUAGAUUGGAUCUACUCUCAAGAUGCAGGAUAGAGAAAACCAUCAUUUAUUAAAUGGCAUCUACACCGCAGGCUUUGUACCAGGCACACACUCCACUGUUCCCAGUUAUCCCUUACUGCACCCCUAGAGGUAUAUGUUUUCCCAGAAAAGAUAAACAAGUUGCCCAAAGUCACAUAUCACAUAGCUAGCAAGCGAACAUGGGGCUGAAAUAAAACACUGCCCAAUUCCAAAAUCCAUAUACUUGUUUCUUCAUGUUUCCCUAUGAAAAUGGCAAAGGUGAGGAGUGUGUGGUGUGUGUGCGUGUGCGCGUGCAUGUGCGUGUGUGUUUGCACAUGGAAAAUUCCAAAUAUCACAACUUCUCUAUAGACACUAGACUCAUUCUUUGGCUAUGGCUGUGUCCGUUAUCCCAAACUCUAUCUUUACCCCAGUUUUUACACUUGCAAAAGUAGAGAAACUUUAAGGUCCACCAGCUUUUACUAACCUCCCUCUUGCUCUGAUAGCUGUGUAAUAAUUUUUGUAUCCUUCCCAGUGGGUUCCCAGUCUUUUCAUCUGCUAGGACCAUCUGGUAACUCAUCACCAAACAUGGUGCCUGACAGCAUCACUGGUGCCCUGCAAAUGUCCACCUGAUAAAUGAGUGAAUUAAUGAAUGAAUAAGAAAAUGAAGGAUACUGGCUGCCCCUGGCCAACUAUAUCUUGGCUUUGGCUUGUCAUUCUAGAUUUGUGAUACUGGCUUCUAGCAGAAGCUUAAAGCCUCUUUUUUGUUCUUUUGUUCCUCUAAUGUACUCCCCCUGCCCCUCCACCAAGAUGGGAAGGAGGGCUGAUCUGAGCAUUCAGGUUUCAGAAUGCUAAUUGGAUAGCAGCCAAUUAGAAGUAGAUCCGUAAGGAUUUAAUUAGACUUUCUGGGUAGAUUUGGAUAUUGCUUUCAAAAUGAAAAGGCCCCAAAUCCAGGUUCCCCUGGAUUAUAAUAGUUUUAUGGCUCUGCCCUGCUUUAAUUUGAGGCUAGUUGGCAAUACCCUGUCCAGGAAAAAGGAAUCUUCCAUGUAGUCCUGUCUGUUCUACUGAGGUCUACAUUUGGGUUUUAGCAAACAAUUCAGCUAAUAUAUAUUAUUUUUCUUUGUUCUCAAGGAUUUAAUGGCAAGAUGCCAUUAUAGACAAGAACAGGAUUCAGACACUUUCGUGUUAUGUGUUCUUGUCCAAAUACUGUGUCACUCUGCACUGGCAUCCCAAUCCCACCAACACCUUUAGCAGGAACUUCCUGUUUCAAUAACAUUUCUCAAUACUCUACCUGAUUGCUUAGAAUCCAUGAGACAGCCAUAUUCUCCAUGUCUAGGUCCCUAUCUUAUUUUUGUUGAGAUGGUGUUAAGACUUUAUUUGUGAGGCUUCUGGGGAAGAGGAGUAAGGUAUUGAUCCCACUGACUGGAUAAUUUGGGUCUCAAAAUGGAUAAUAAAUAAGCAUUACAUAUUUUGACCACUUCCUUGGAGGAGAACUUCUUGGAAUGUGCACCAUGUCCGCUGCACUUUUUUUGCACAGAUAUCUAAGUUGGAGAAACAUACUACUAGAUAAAUCAAUUUGUUCUCUUAGUACUCAUGAUAUGGUUCCUGGGAACUUCUGAUUCACCAAAUUAAUCUUGGCCAGGUACAUACCUGGCAGGAAUCCAAAAAUUCCCCAAGUCUCCUUGAAGUUCAGGAUCAUCAUUCUUAAUAAAUACACCGAGGGAAAAACCAUGGAGAGUUUGUCCCAGAUGCUGUGAAUCUGGCCCGGGGUACAUGAAGAAGUCCUUAAUUGCAGUCAUUUACAUGGUAGAUUCUCUAUAAUCAUUUAAUUUGCUAUAGGUCUAUGAUUUUUAGUCCUUCUUCUCUAAAUGAUUGAACAUGUAUAAUUCCCAUUUCAAUCAUAUUACCUGGAUGAACAAAAGUAACGCUAGACUCAUUCAUGCAUUCUGGUUGCCAAGGAAAAGGAAAAAAAAAACAAAACAAUCAACAGGAUGUUUAAACUGUCUUAGGGCAACUUCAGGCCAUAGUCACUGGUGUUCUUGCAGACUAUGAGAUAUUUUACAUUCUGAUAAGGGAUAAAAAUUCGUGCCUCACAUGGCUCCCAUCACACUAAGAUCUUGCAACAAUAACACUACUGAUUCAGACAUUAAUCUUAAGUAUCCAGGGAGCCCUAAAACAUUGUAUCCCACUAGCAAGGACCAUGGUAAUUGCCACGUAAAUCCCCUCCAUUAUGUGGCCCUUAUUAUGACCAGCCAGCCAAGGCUUGCCUUUAAAUCAUACCAAUUGAACCGAGCCUUGUAGAAACACUAUCACCUACGCAUACCUCUGCUUCUUUUCAUUAACCUGCUAUCCUCUUUACAAAUGGGAUUCUUCACCCACUCCCUUCUUCUAGAUUAGCAAUGCCCUGUUAAGUAAACGAACACGAAAUUCAAAGGGAAACAGGAGCAAUCAUCAUUACCAGCUGCCGUGUUAAGCAUUGCGAAAACGCUCACGAUUCACAGAAAAAUCCAUGCUGUUCUUUGAAGGCAUUCAAGCCUUAAUAGCUAGCUGGAUGAAUGUUUAACUUCUAGGCCAGGCACUACUCUGUCCCAACAAUAAGCCCUGUACAUUGGGAAAGGUGCCGAGACAUGAACUUUGGUCUUCUCUGCAAUCCAUCUGGAGCAUUCACUGACAACAUCGACUUUGAAGUUGCACUGACCUGGCCAGCCCUGCCACUUACCAGGUUGGCUCUGUAUGGCUAAGCGUUUUCUCCUAAAAUCCCUUGAAAACUGUGAGAAGACCAUAAGAAGAUCAUAUCUUUAAUUCUAUUUCACAAGUCACACAAUAUUCCAAUCAAAUACAGAUGGUUGAGAAAAGUCAUCCAUCUUCCCUCCCCACCCUCCCACAGCCCCUCAACCACUGCCCUGAAACUUAUAUGCUGUUAUCCGCAGCUCCAUCUGGAGCAUCACAGCUACUGUCAACCCUGACGCUCUUUCUGAAAAAACACCGGAUGGACAUCAGAACUAUUUCUUUAAGGAUGUUACUGAGCCACACAGGAAAACUUGCCUUAUGAUUUUGAAUGCACGGAUCUGAUUUGACUAAACAUGAUAACUAGAGAAUCACCCAAUCUACUCCCAUUUUCAACUCUAAAUCAUCAGAGUGUCUCAAAUCCAAAGCACACACAGACCAGCCUGGCCAACACGGUGAAACUCCACCCCUACUAAAAGUAUAAAAAUUAUCCAGGUGUGGUGGCGGGCGCCUGUAAUCCAAGCUACUUGGGAGUCUGGAGGCAGGAGAAUCCCUUGAACCUGGGAGAUGGAGGUUGCAGUGAGCAGAGAUCACACCACCGCACUCUAGCCUGGGCCACAAAUCAACAACAACAACAACAACAAAAAACAAAGCGCACACAGAGACUGAGGUCCUCUUUGGCAUUGAGAAGAUGGCUAUGCAAGUCCCAACUAGCAAGUGCAAACUUCCCAGCUUCACUUCUGCCAGUGUCCCUUCACCCCUUCUCAACCCCACUGGGAGGCAGGAGGGUGCUUGACAAUAACAGCCUUGGCAUCACUCUGCCAGGGUGUAAUAGGAACUGUUACAAUUCUGAGAUUCUGUGUAAGCACUGGCCUUUCUGCCUAGAAUGCCUUCUCCUCUCUUUUUUAACUGCAUGCUCCUAUUUAUCUUUCAAAGCCCGGAAAAAAUAACACUGCACACGGGAAAUGCUCCCUUCCUACUGCAGUCAUUUAGAUGACUCUAUGCCAUUCCAUUCAUUUCUCUUUCCUACCACAGAAGUGCUUUGAGAUUUUGGAGUCAGACUGCUUGAACUUGAAUCCUGGCCCUCUCAUCAGAGACUUGACUUAUUUUAGGCAAGUUAUAUAACCAAUUUUACCUCAGUUCCUUACCCAUAAAAUGGGUCUAAUGAGAGUACCUACCACACAGAAUUUUGAUGAAAACUGAAUGAGAUGAAGGCCUUUAAGGCAGUGGUCCCCAACCCUGGGGACACAGACAGGUACCAUUUUGUGGCCUGUUAGGAACUGGGCCACACAGCAGGAGGUGAGCAGUGGGUGAGUGAGAUCAGCGUUAUUUACAGCUGCUCCCCAUUGCUCACCUUACUGCCUGAGCUCCACCUCCUGUCAGAUCAGCAGUGGCAUUAAAUUCUCAUAGCAGCACAAACCCUGUCAUGAACUGCACAUGCGAGGGAUCUAGGUUGUGCGCUCCUUAUGAGAAUCUAAUGCCUAAUGACCUGUCACCGUCUCCCAUCACCCCUAGAUGGGAGUGUCUAGUUGCAGGAAACAAGCUCAGGGCUUCCACUGAUUCUACAUUAUGGUGAGUUGUAUAAUUAUUUCAUUAUAUAAUACAAUGUAAUAAUAAUAGAAACACAGUGCACAACAAAUGUAAUGUGCUUGAAUCAUCCCCAAACCAUCCCAGUCCACGGUCUUCCACAUUUUGUCUUUUCACAAAAUUGUCUUCCACAAAACUGGUCCCUGGUGCCAAAAAGGCUUGGGACCACUGCUUUAAAGCCUUUGCAUAGUGCUUAGAAUUGAGGGGGAAAAAAAAAACAAAAACAAUGUAGCUAGUUGCUACAAUCACUAUAUUGGUGAGUUUCAAAAGGAAAAGAAUUCUGUCCCAUUUAUGCUUGAGCCUUGAGUUGCUAACCAAGCCUGACACAAAAUUACUGUUGAAGGGAUGUGUGAGUCCUAAUUGAAAUGAGGCCUCUUAAGGGAAUUGUGGACCAAACCCCAAGCAGGCAGAAAGCCGUAUCUUAAUUAUUGCAAGUAUUUCAGGCAAGGUGUGGAUGGCCAUUUGAAUUCAAGCAGACUAGGACCUGGGAUGAGAAAGAAGGUGUGUACGUGACUUGAUCUUUGAACUUUAGCUCACCAUCUGGAAGAAGGCUGAGUAUUCUCUGCACUCACAUAGUAGCUAAUGCCUACUCCCCAGCCACCCACAAUUCUUUCUGUAGGAAGGCUCGCUAGAAUACUUUGUGAUAUUGGAUAUUAGUUCCAUAUUCUACUGUGUAUCUUAGUUCAACCAAAUUGUAAUCAUCUGAUAUUUAUUUCUUUUAAUAUAAAUAUAAGUAUAUUAAGUCUUGGCAUGCUUGCUCAGUCUCUCUCUCUCUCCCAUUCCUCCCCGCUCCCCUCUCUCUUUCCCAACAGGCUUGGAAAGCAGGCAUCACCAUGCCUAUUUAACAGUUGGGGUCCCUUGGCCACCAGGUGCUGGAGUAGGAAUCUGAGCCCGGACAUGCCUGAUCUGUAAAUUUUGUGUUUUCCCCACUGUGCUGGGCAGAUCACAGCUAUCAGCGCCAAAUUCAUAGAAGGGGCGCCCCCUGUGGUCAAUUGAGGGAUUUGUGUUUGAGGUAGAUCUCAAGAAGGAAUGGGUGGGGAACUUAGCCUAGGACAGAGCAGAAAGGAGCCCUCACUCCCCAAGCACCAACGGCCUCAGUCCUUCCUGCUGACUCCAGCCUCUAGCUCUCACCCAGACUAUCUGCAUCCUUCUCUCCACCACGCUCCUUUGGAACCUGCGUAAAACACAGAUUAAAGGAAUUCCGCCUUACUUCCCUUUCCGCAUUAUGACCAAAUGGUUUUACACUAUCAUUGAACAGUUUAGUACAAAACAUGCCACCUUUUAAUCUAUUCAUUCAUUUAACAAAUACUUUGGAGUGUUUACCAUGUGCCAAGUGCUGUUCUAAUAGACAUAAGCUGUGAGGUUAUGCUUAUCUGAUUCUCACAGCAACAGCUUUCGAGAUAUGAAUUGGUAUACUCAUUUGACAGAUGAGGAAAUUGAAUUCAUGUAGUGAGAAAGGAAGAGCUGCAAUUCAGGGUUACUGGUUUCUCCUGCACUAAGCACUGAGCCACACUAGAAGAGAAGGCAUGAGGAAGACAAAAGUGAGAAGGUACGAGAGAAGAUAUUAAGUAGAGGUCUAUUAGUUCCUCUUAAAACUAUUUAUGAAAGAGGCGGAUGGGGUAGUGGAUGGGAAAGACAGAUGGAUUCAUGUUCUUCACUCCAGGUUUCCCCCCAUUCCCUUCCCUUUUAAAUGCCUGCUCAUUUUUUGGCUACCUUUCAAGCUCUAGGAAAUACUCUGGAAUUCCAGGCUGGGAGGGGUUUCCUUUGCAGAUCUGGCUAUUGUAACUUUACAAGAAAUUGCUCAAUACUUCCUCUCACCAGUUACAAACCACGGUUUUCUGAAUGAACUUUAUGUUCAUUAAACAGUUAACCCUUCAGCUUUCUGACUCACAUUUUUCAUGUUAUUAAUCAGCUCUUAGAGUAAGGUAAAAUCUAGAACAGACUUUAUAUACACCCUCCCUCCCACACACAUAUACAUACAUAAUACAAACACAGACCACACAUGUCCACAUCCUUAUGCGCAAACACUAAGAAACACACGCAUACACAAACAUACAUGUACACAAAAUUAAAUACAUAGCUAUGGCACUUUCACUAUACAUGUAAACACCCUUACACACAUACAAAUGUACAUGCGCGUGUGCGCACACACAUAUGGAAUUAGCUUUUUCUCUUUGUGGGAGGAGGGAAAUGAAAAGACCCAAAACAUUCAGAUUCCCAAAUGGACACGUAAGAACCCCGUCAUGGAAAUAGGUCUGGGUUUUUUUCUCUUUUGAGGGAAGCAGGGCGUUUCUGGUUACUGUCGCCAUUGCCAUUGUGCCCCUGCUUACCAUCCCCCUGCACCGCCCCCCCGGCCCCCGCCCGCCACUGCUAGGGUUUACAGGUCAUCCCUGGAUUAAAUAAGUGAUAUUGUGUUUUUUUUUCUUUGACACAAAGUAAAAUUAUAAUUAAUAUUGAAUAAAGUAAAAAUGAACUCCUGAGUUCCAGUCCCUUAUGUAACACACCUGGUUUGUGGCAGGCACUCAGGAAAUAUUAGUUGCAUGAACGAAGGCUGCAUUUUCAUUAGAACAACAUGCAGUUCAACCCCUUCAUGUUUCAAUGAGGGUUCAGAUACCCAGAGGGCUAUGCUAUCAUCCUGGAGCCCACUCUGCUAACAAUUAGCAGAACGGAAGCCUUAAUUUCCAGAUUCUAGUGAACUUGAUGAGUCAAGACUAUUGCAAUUGGAAAUCUGUUCUCCUCUGCUGCUGCAUUCCCUGCUUAAUACUCAAGCCAGAAACCAGGAAGGCUGUGGCUUGCCUUUUCACUUCUUGUGUCCUGUUUAAGAAAUAUCUGCUAUCCCAAGGUAAGAUACUAUACUUUUUUUAACAUGUUAUUUUGUUUUACCUUUCACAUUUGGUGUAUACUACAUUUGUAAUUAAUUUGUCCAUAUUAUAUGACAUAUAGCCAAGAUUUAUUUUUUACCAUACAGAUACUCAAUAUUGCCAUUUACGUAGAACAUCGUUCUCUUCCUACUCAAUUGCCUUGGCACCUUUGUAAUAAAUCAGAUGAUCGUGUAUGUGUAGUUCAGUUUCUGGACUCUGUCUUCUGUUUCUUUAGUCUAUUUGCCUAUUCUUGUACCAAUAUGCACUGUGUUAAUAAUCGUAGCUUUGUAGUAGGUCUCGAAAUCUGACAGUGUAAUUCUUUUAGUUUCUUUCUUCUGCAAAUUUUCUUUAGCUGUUUUACGUCCUUUGCAUUUGUAUAUAAACUUCAGAAUCAGCUUGUCUAUUCCAAAAACAACAACAACAAAUGAAAGUUUCAGAAACUUUAACUGAAAUUGUAUUGAAUCUGUAGACAAUUUUGGAGUAAAUUGCAUCUUAGCAAUGUAGAGUCUUUCGAACCAUAACCAUGGUAAGUCUCUCCAUUUGCUUAAAUCUUCUUUAAUUUAUUUCAACAAUGGCUUCCAAUUUCCAGCGGGAGCUCUUGGAAACUACAAUUUACAUGAACUUCUAAUUUGAUAUUUUUCGGUGUCAUUAUAAACAUUGUUGUUUUAAAAGUUGUCUUCAAUUUUUUGUUGUCAGGCACAGAAAUACAAUUAUUGAUAACAUUUAUAUAUAAACUGUAUCCAGUGAUCUUGCUAGAUUCACUGAUGAGUCUGAUGUUGUAGAUUCUUUGGGAUUUUCUCCGUACAUAAUCAUAUCCUUUCUGAAUAAGAUAGUUUUACUUCUUCAUUUUUAAUAUCUAUGCCUUUUAUUUAUUUUUCUUUUGAACUUUUUGCUGACUUCAUUAUUCACUCUCAUGUUUUUCUCUUUCAUUAGACUAUGACUCCUCGAUGGUAGCAAUUUGUAGUAAUCAAAUUUUUGUAUUUUAUUUUAGCAUCUGGCAUCUUUCUUGACAUAUGUAGCAGUUGCUUUUUGACAGCUUGCUUCUUCAGUGAAUGAAUAAAUUAAUAAAGAGAAAUGUGAUGUUCAGUGAUCCAUUUUGCAGCAUUUAUUAAAUACUGGUGCAUAAUGAUGGAAUAAAUUUUAUACCGUAAGGAUAAACCAGUAUUCUGGACUAAGCCAACGUGGGAGACCCUAGGAGGCCUGUUUGAGAAAGUGACAUUUAAAUUGAGACUUGGCGGUGGCUGUGGCUACAUAUCUAAUUGCAAACUCCUAGAGAAGGGCUCAACAGUGAGUGCUGAGGCUGCACAGAGGAGGAAGGCAGCACAAUGAUGGAAGGCUUCCUAAAGAGAUAACACUAACAAAGUUGACCUUAGAAUUGGAGUGCCUGGGUUAGAACCCUGCUGGUACCACCUGCUUACUGCAUGCUUCUGAUGUGAGUUCAGGAGAAGACACUGGCAAGGACAGCAAAGAACAGGAGAACACUCUAGCUUCCCUGAUAGCAUUCAAGGUGCUGUCCAAACUGACUGUGAUGGCACCCUCCAGACAGACAGCGAUGCCACAUGUUCAAGAUGGCAGAAUCACUAUCAGCUUCAAUUCCUGAAUGACUGCAGAGCAAAAUUUCUUACCUGCAACAUACACUCUAUUUUCAGCCUCCCUGGACUGUUACAUAAUGAUACAUAAAAAUAUUUCUUGUGUUGAGGCAUCCCAAAUUUGAUUUAUUUGUCAUCACAGUCUAUCCUAUGAAUAUAUUUCUGAUCCAAAUAAUGCUAGAUUCAUGAGAGUUUAUAGUCCAGAGAUUUUUUUUUUUUUUUUGAGACAGAAUCUGUCUCCCAGGCUGGGGUGCAGUGGCAUAAUCUUAGCUCACUGCAACCUCUGCCUCCCGGGCUCAAGUGAUCCUCCCUCCUUAGCCUCCAUGAGUAGCUGGGACCACAGGUGUGCACCACCACACCCCGCUAAUUAUUUUGUAUUUUUUGCAGAGGGGGGUUUCACCACAUUGCCCAAGCUGGUCUCAAACUCCUAGACUUAAGGGAUCUGCCUGCCUUGGCCUCCCAAAAUGCUGAAAUUACACUUGUUAGCCAUAGUAAUAGUUCCUAGCCAUAGUCCGGAGAUAUUUUAAAAACUUUAGUGUGAGUUAUUUCUCUUUGCUAUAAUUCUCUCAUGCAUUUUGAAAACCUUUUCUGCCAUACAGUGGUUUUUGGGAAGUCCUUUUGGACAGACAUAUCACAGGAUGGAGAAACUAAAAAGAGAGAAUGCAUUAAAGAAAAAAUAGUACUUCGUAUUUCAGAAAUUACAAAAGGGUGUCAUGCCCCACAGCAUGGUGGGCAGUCAUUUGUAACCCACAGAACAUUGAGUUUCUAAAAUUUGAGUGUUUUUAACUUACGAAGGCCAACUUUACUGAUGAAGUGAUUACCCCAAAUAUGUGAAAUCCAUAUUUCAAGUACAAUAGUAGGAAAUUGGAAAUGGGUAGGUAUAUUUCUGACUGUCAAAGAGUACAAAGUAAAGAGGGGCCCCUGAAGAGUGACACUACUGGAAAAACAGAAGAAAAAAAAAACUGUUUCUUUUUUUAAAGAGCAGUCAACCUCAAACUUACUACUAAUGACUGUAUUUCAUUUCAGUCUACCCCAGUGGUUUUGUUUCUCAUAGACUGUAGAAUGUAAGCCUUUUUGGUCAUUCUGACAGAUUUUCCAGCACAAAGAAUAUCAGGGGAUUAACUGACAAAUCAUGGGUAUUUUUGGCAAGAUAGUAGAUUAACCCUGGAAAUUUUCUCCAUCUAUGAGAAAAAAAGACAUGUGCCACCUGAGGGUUACAAAGACUGUUGGUGGCUGACCUCAGGCUCCUGUCUUUUAUUUUAUUUUAUUUUUUUACCAUUUUACCUCUGCCCUGUUUUUUUAAAUUAUUAUUAUUUUACUUUAAGUUCUGGGAUACAUGUGCAGAACUGCGGGUUUGUUACAUGUGCCAUGGUGGUUUGCUGCACCUAUCAACCCGUCAUCUAGGUUUUAAGUCCCACAUGCAUUAGGUAUUUGUCGUAAUGCUCUCCCUCCCCUUGGGCCCCACCCCUCAACGCGCCCCACCCCUCAACAGGCCCCAGGGUGUGAUGUUCCUCUCUGUGUGUCCUUGUGUUCUCACUGUUCAGCUCCCACUUAUGAGUGAGAACACACAGUGUUUGGUUUUCUGUUCCUGUGUUAGUUGGCUGAGAAUUAUGGCUUGCAGCUUCAUCCAUGUCCCUGUAAAGGACAUGAACCCAUUAUUUUUUGUGGCUGCAUAGUAUUCCAUGGUAUAUGCCAUGUGCCAUGUUUGCUUUAUCAUUGAUGGGCAUUUGGGUUGGUUCCAAGUCUUUUCUAUUGUAAUUAGUGCUGCAAUAAGCAUACGUGUGCAUGUGUCUUUAUAGUAGAAUGAUUUAUAAUCCUUUGGGUAUAUACCCAGUAAUGGGAUUGCUGGGUCAAAUGGUAUUUCUGGUUCUAGAUGCUUGAGGAAUCAUCACACUGUCUUCCACAAUGGUUGAACUAAUUUACACUCCCACAAACAGUGUAAAAGCGUUCCUAUUUCUCCACAGCAUCACCAGCAUCUGUUGUUUCCUGACUUCUUAAUAAUUGCCAUUCUAACUGGUGUGAGAUGGUAUCUCAUCAUGGUUUUGAUUUGCAUUUUUCUAAUGACCAGUGAUGAUGAGUUUUUUUCAUAUGUUUGUUGGCCAAAUAAAUGUCUUCUUUUGAGAAGUAUCUGUUCAUAUCCUUUGCCCAUUUAUUGAUGGGGUUGCUUGAUUUUUUUCUUGUAAAUUUGUUUUCAGUUCCUUGUAAAUUCUAGAUAUUAGACCUUUGUCAGAUGGGUAGACUGCAAAAAUUUUCUCCCAUUCUAUAGGUUGCUUGUUCACUAUGGUGAUAAUUUCUUUUGCUGAACAGAAGCUCUUUAGUUAAUUAGAUCCCAUUUGUCAAUUUUGGCUUUUGUUGCCAUUGCUUUUGAUGCUUUAGUCAUGAAGUCUCUGCCCAUGCCUGUGUCCUGAAUGGUAUUGCCUGGGUUUUCUUCUAGGGUUUUUAUGGUUUGGGGUUUUACAUUCAAGGCUUUAAUCCAUCUUGAGUUAAUUUUUGUAUAAGGUAUAAGGAAGGGGUUCAGUUUCUGUUUACUGCAUAUGGCUAGCCAGUUUUCCUAGCACCAUUUAUUAAAUAGAAAGUCCUUUCCCCAUUGCUUGUUUUUGUCAGGUUUGUCAAAGGUCAGAUGGUUGUAGAUGUGUGGUGUUAUUUCUGAGGUCUCUGUUUCAUUGGUCUAUAUAUCUGUUUUGGUACCAGUACCAUGCUGUUUUGGUUACUGUAGCCUUGUAGUAUAGUUUGAAGUCAGGUAGUAUGAUGCCUCCAGCUUUGUUCUUUUUGCUUAGGAUUGUCUUGGCUAUAUGGGCUCUUUUUUGGUUCCAGAUGAAAUUUAAAGUAGUUUUUUUCUAAUGCUGCAAAAAAAGUCAAUGUUAGCUUGAUGGGAGUAGCAUUGAAUCUAUACAUUACUUUGCUCUGCCCCUGUUUAUACAUACAUGACUGAUAUGGUUUGGCUGUGUCCCUGCCCAAAUCUCAUCUUGAAUUCCCACAUGUUGUGGGAGGAACCUGGGGGGAGGCAACUGAUCAUGGGGCAAGUCUUUGCCAUGCUGUUCUUGUGAUAGUGAAUAAGUCUCAUGAGAUCUGACGGUUUUAAAAAGAGGAGUUCCCCUGCACAAAUUCUCUCUCUUUGCCUGCUGCCAUCCAUGUAAGGCAUGACUUACUCCUCCUUGCCUUCUGCCAUGAUUGUGGGGCUUCCUCAGCCAUGUGAAACUGUAAGUCCAAUUAAACAUCUUUCUUUUGUAAAUUGCCCCGUCUCAGGUAUGUCUUUAUCAGCAGUGUGAAAAUGGACUAAUACAAUGAUACAAGAGUAGUUAGAACAGUAUUUAUAAAUGUGCCAAUGUUAAUCAACAUAGGAGUUAACGAUUCCCUGUUUUUCUGUGAUUUCUCAUGCACCAAAAAUAUAUUAAGAUAAAAUAUACAAUUUUCAUUCACUAUUAAGUGACUAACCUCAUAUUGCUUUCAAAGGCAUUUAUUGGCACCUACUAUGUGUGAAUACACUCAGCUUGCUUAUGUGAAAGCUGAAUAACAAAGUGGUUAUGUAACUUAAUGAAGGUCCCACAACUAGGAAGUGGUAGAGUAACUUUCUAAACCACUUUCCUCCCAGUUUAGUUUCACAUUCAUGUGUUCAGUCAACAAGCACUUAUGGAAUCCUGAUGCUGGGCCCUACUUUAUGGUAGACACUGAAGAUACAGACUUUGUCCCUGCCCUCAUGGAGUUCACAGUUCAGGAGGGAAACCAGAUUUAAUCAAAUAACCACACAAAAAUUUGCUCGUAAAAUGAAACCAAUGCUAUAAGGAAAAUGAACAGGGUGAUUUGAGAGCAUAUAAUAGGAUUUUAUCAUAUCUGAUGAUUCAGAGUAAUGUUCUCCUAUAGAAGAGAUGUGGGAACUGACAUCUGAAGUGUCAGUGUUAGUUAGCCAGGUGUGGUAUAUAAAAGAUGACCAGCUUAUCCACCAAGAGGUAGAAUUGCUUUCCCCAUGCAUUAAAUCUGGACUGGCCUUUGACUUGCAGUGUCCAACAGAUAAAGUGGAAGUUUCUGCUCUUGCUCCCUUGGAAUAUUGUUCUGAGACUGCCAGCUGAAGAAGUCUAGUCUAGUCUAGUUUAUUAGUGGAUGAGAGGCUGGUAGAAAAGCGAAAAACUGUUGCAGCUGAGUCCCCUGAGUCCAACCAGUUGACAGCCUGCAGCGACUGUGUGAGGCCAUCUUAGAUUAUUCAGCCCCACUACAGAUGCCAAAUAUCUGCAGCUGUAAAAGUGAUUCCAGGCAAUAACAGAAGAACCAUCCUGCUGAUCCUAGCCCAAAUUGCUGGCCAUAGAACCAUGAGCUAAUAAGACAGCUGUGGUUAUAAUAUAUUGAGUUUGGGGUUGGCAUGUUACAUGGCAGUCAGUUAUUGAUACCCUGAGAGAAGUAUGGAAGCUGGGACUGAAUUCUAGGAAGAGGGAAAGAUAUAGGCAAAGGUCCUGAGGAGGGAAGAAUAAACUUUUAGAGAACUGAAAGAAAGAUGAUGAGAUAGAAGACUUCAGAGGGCUAGGCAAGGCCCAAGUCUAAAAGCAGUGUCUUAGAAUCUGUCAAAAAUCUCAUCUUUUUAUUGUUGUUUGGAACAAAGUCUUUCUUUAUUGCCUAGGCUGCAGUCAUGCAGUGGCACAAUUAAAGCUCACUUCAGCCUCGACCUCCUGAGCUCAAGCAAUCAGCCUCCUGACUAGCUGGGACUACAGGUGUGGAUGACUAUACCCAGCUAUUUUUUUUUUUUUAUUUUUUGUAGAAACAGGGUCUUACCAUGUUGCUCAGGCUGGUCUCAGACUUCUGGGCUCAAGCAAUCCUCCUGCCUCAGCCUCCCAAAGUGUUUGGAUUAUAGGCAUGAGCUAGCAUGCUCGGCUGUGAGUUCAAUUUUUUUCUUUAAAAGCAAGAGAAAGUCACUGUAGAGAUUUUGAGCUCAGAAGUGUCAUGAAUAGACUUGCACAUGUGCAUAUAUUGUUUUUUUUUUUUUUCACCAGGCGCAAACUUAUGGUGGAAGGGACCUACAUUAAGCACACAUAAGUAGAAGCUGGCCAGGCACGGUGGCUCAUGCCUGUAAUCCCAGCACUUUGGGAGGCCGAGACUGGUGGAUCACGAGGUCAGGAGAUCGAGACCAUCCUGGCUAACAUGGUGAAACCCCGUCUCUAUCAAAAAUACAAAAAAAAAUUAGCCAGGUAUGGUGGGGGGCGCCUAUACUCCCAGCUACUCGGGAGGCUAAGGCAGAAGAACGGC